AUCUGGAGGAAUGAACUUGUACGAUCGGAACAUAUUAUCUAUGCUUAAUUUUCAGGACCGCGAACAAUUUGUAUUCCGAUUUCGGAUAUAAUCCGCAAAACAAACGCUGCACAGUUAACAGUGAUAAGCGAUGCUGCGGUGGCCUGCAUGUGUGCAGUUCUAUCACCAGCUGCAGCUCUACCAGGACACGGGUCCUUUCCUGGUGAAGUAGCACUAUUUAAGAGCUGUAUUCCAGUCAGGUCAGGUCAUCACCGAAGACUUACCUGUGGUAGGCGGUGGCGGGCUUUCUGGUUCCUCAUUUGGUGCCAAGAGGUACCUCCACCGGUUGCCUCCACCUGUGAAUCAAAGGGGUUGACAACGACCGCUGGUGACUGUCCAAGAUAAUUCAUGAAAUGCAGCAGCAAAAGAAAUACAACACAGUAUAUAUCUACCAGGGCACUAUGUAGUAGCUAGCUGGCCGCUGGCCCCUGGCCGCUGGAAAGGCCUCUCCCGAUGUUAUAACAUAUUAGUUAAGCCCUUCAGGCAUAUAAUUUGUAGUCAAUAUGUAGGAAGGGGUCAGCUCCCCUGAUUAUUAUAGAUUACUUGCACCCGAUCGUGGUUUGAGUUCCUUUUGCAAUACUUUGACUUAGUGCAAAUGGACCCGUUAGAGCACUUUGUCUACUUCGUAUCGGGCAAAGCUCAAGUCUGG
rnacentral:lncRNA from 1 species